rnacentral:rRNA from 1 species
GACGAACGCUGGCGGCGUGCUUAACACAUGCAAGUCGAACGGAAAGGCCCUGCUUUUGUGGGGUGCUCGAGUGGCGAACGGGUGAGUAACACGUGAGUAACCUGCCCUUGACUUUGGGAUAACUUCAGGAAACUGGGGCUAAUACCGGAUAGGAGCUCCUGCUGCAUGGUGGGGGUUGGAAAGUUUCGGCGGUUGGGGAUGGACUCGCGGCUUAUCAGCUUGUUGGUGGGGUAGUGGCUUACCAAGGCUUUGACGGGUAGGCGGCCUGAGAGGGUGACCGGCCACAUUGGGACUGAGAUACGGCCCCGACUCCUACGGGAGGCAGCAGUGGGGAAUAUUGCACAAUGGGCGGAAGCCUGAUGCAGCAACGCCGCGUGCGGGAUGACGGCCUUCGGGUUGUAAACCGCUUUCGCCUGUGACGAAGCGUGAGUGACGGUAAUGGGUAAAGAAGCACCGGCUAACUACGUG